AACCACUGUCUCCGUGUUACAAUAGCGGGAUAUAUUUUACACGUGAUUUAUAUCUUGUAGGUGGCUAAAGCUAGCCUAGCCAAAGUUCUGAUUUAAGUCAGAUAAAUGAGUAGAUUAGCUAACUAAGCUAAGCUCCAGUCUGGACUGGUGUAUUAGCCUACUUUCUCCUCAGGGCUUGUGUGUGGGCUGCUACUUAUGGAGUGUUUAAAGCGUCUCAGACAGAAACAGCAGUCUAAACACUUCUUAAACAGUGUGAAUUAGAUACAUUACUUAGCUUAGGUAAAUUAGCUAUAGGUGAAGUGUGCAGAUUUGGACUGUUGUUUAAAUGCAGCUCUCGUGUAGCUAAAAGCCCUGGUGAAAGUAGCCACAGGGGAGCGGACUGAUUUUAUAGGAUCCUUCCAGACGUCGCUGUGGUGAGCUUCUGGCUUCGUUAAACCAAAUGGCAAAACAAAGUUUUUUUUCUCUUCUCAGAUGUGUGAGAGGGGCUUUAGACUCCCACAUUCUCUCUUUCAGCUCUAACAAGAAGCAGAGAGAACCAAUCUGCAUGCUCUUAGGCAAAGGAAAUUACCGGUACAGAGGGCAUCUUAAAUGACGGAAUCACAGAUAACAAGAGGAGGUCAUGGCUGACAACCUCAAGCUUAACCUCAGGAUAAGAUGAAUUGAGAGGAAAGAAAGAUUCUUAGAGACUCUUCUAAUGCUCUUCCCAGUCUGGGAAUUAUCUGUAACUGUCAAACGAAGGCUUUAAUUGCUGAUAAUAAACUGUUGAAGAUGAGCA
rnacentral:lncRNA from 1 species